UUCGCUAUAGCUUAUGUAAAGCACCGGAUUCUUACUCCGGGGAAGUUUUUAAACUAGCGUUA
rnacentral:tRNA from 1 species